GGGGAUGAAAGGUUUCGACGGGGCAGAGUUCGUUUGCGAACGGCAAGCCGAGGCGCCUGUCCUCGUAAAAACGGGCAACACCACAAGUGCCAAGAACACUGGCAAGGCCUUCAACUUCGGGUUCGCCCGCUCCAACGCCAUGGCGUUGGCCGCCUAAGAAUCCGAAGCCAUAAGGUAUCCGGUCAUCAGAAGAUGACCACGGCCCUGAGAGCGGGUCCCGGCAGCGCUCUCAGAUCGCCGUCAUAGACUGCAGGGUGCAGCCCGGCGGACGUCGAUAUGCCGGGUCAAGACGCAUCGACUAGCCUGCUAGCCGGAUGGGGUCUCUGGCAUCCCGCAGGUGAAACCUCACCCAGAGACUAAGCUUGUAGAAGUUCGUAGGCGACUGUCCCGGACCGGGGUUCGAUUCCCCGCAUCUCCACCU
rnacentral:tmRNA from 1 species